GUCCCAUUUCUACCCCUUACCCCUCCCCCUUGGUUUGAAGGGGUAAGGGUGUCCCAAUUCUCAUUUUGGUUAAGGGGUAGGGCGAAGACAAAAGGCUACGUAGCCCUUGAAACGAAGCGAAAACGUAGCUUGAAACGAAGCUAUCCAAGGACCACACUUCAAAGGGAGGGCUUCGAGGAAAAUCCGGCCGAAAAUGCAUUUUUACUAGUUGUUAUCAUUUGGACUCAUGAUGUAAAGUUGACUGUAUAUUCAGCUCGAAGUCAUACACGGACAAUGCGAUCUCUGAGCUCGAUAUAAAACAUGACAUAACGGUAAAUAACCGUUGAACUAUACAAGAUUUUAGCGCUCUCUAGUGGCCAACCGAAAUCGCCAAAUAAACAAACAGCAGCGAUGGUUCAAGCGAAGGACACGCACAAAUGGACACCACAGGAGACCAGACGGCUCAUUAAUUUCAGGGGGACCAGGGACAAUGAGUUCCUAAAAUCGAAAAUGAUCGCCAGAAAACAGUGGGAGUGAGUCUUACGUUGUUCAAUCUUUUCAUUCUUGCGUCUGUUUUCUACUUUGGUAUUUCUGUGUUGAGCUCAAUAGCCCACUGAAUGUCUGUGUCAUUAUACCAAUUGCCUAAUGAAUGUAUCAACCAAACGAGACCAUUGUUUUUGUUGUAAUUUAGUAUUUUGGUGUGUGUGUGUGUGUGUGUGUGUGUGUGUGUGUGUGUGUAGCCGAGCUAAAUUUAAUUUGAUUUUGUUUUAUUUUUUAUCAUUGUUCAUACCUUUUUUUAUGUGAACUCCACCAAAUAUUGGUUCCUAAGUAAGUUGGUUUCGUUGUUCCCUAUGGCAUGCCUUUUCUUUCCCUGGGGAGUGGUUUGGCGUUGCACCUGUGUGCACCUGUGUGCACCUGUGUGUACCUGUGUGUACCUGUGUGUACCUGUGUGUAUGUGCAAUGACAACAAAUAAAAUCCUAUCCUAUCCUAUCCUAUGGCAAUGUU